rnacentral:lncRNA from 1 species
GGUGGAGGAAGCUCAUCAAUGGGACCACGCACUGAGCCCUGGGAAGGUCUGAGACUGGGGCCUCCUGCAGCCCUACCCAGGCUCCCAAAUGGGGAGGUGAGUUCCCAGAGAACAGGGCUCCACAAGAGGGCAGACUGGGCAGAAAAGUUACUUAAUCAUUCUGUCUAUAAUAGUUCUUCAGAAAUCAGUUAUAUUUGCAUUGCUAAACAGCAGGUCUUAUUCAUCCUGUUAUGUUCUUGCUCAAAAUAUCCAGUUACUUUCCACCCUC